UAGCGGAGGAAAAGAAACCAACCGGGAUUGCCUUAGUAACGGCGAGUGAAGCGGCAAAAGCUCAAAUUUGAAAUCUGGUACCUUCGGUGCCCGAGUUGUAAUUUGGAGAGGGCAACUUUGGGGCCGUUCCUUGUCUAUGUUCCUUGGAACAGGACGUCAUAGAGGGUGAGAAUCCCGUGUGGCGAGGAGUGCGGUUCUUUGUAAAGUGCCUUCGAAGAGUCGAGUUGUUUGGGAAUGCAGCUCUAAGUGGGUGGUAAAUUCCAUCUAAAGCUAAAUAUUGGCGAGAGACCGAUAGCGAACAAGUACAGUGAUGGAAAGAUGAAAAGAACUUUGAAAAGAGAGUGAAAAAGUACGUGAAAUUGUUGAAAGGGAAGGGCAUUUGAUCAGACAUGGUGUUUUGUGCCCUCUGCUCCUUGUGGGUAGGGGAAUCUCGCAUUUCACUGGGCCAGCAUCAGUUUUGGUGGCAGGAUAAAUCCAUAGGAAUGUAGCUUGCCUCGGUAAGUAUUAUAGCCUGUGGGAAUACUGCCAGCUGGGACUGAGGACUGCGACGUAAGUCAAGGAUG
rnacentral:rRNA from 1 species